GGAUUUUAAUUCCUAGUCGAAUAUCAAGGGUUACUUAACCCUCGAUAUUCGACCCUUAGUGAAUCGGCCCCCAUGUGUUCAGGUAUAUCUGAACACAGCUUUAUGAUGAAUUACCCUUUGAAUGAACUUUGUAUAUGAUGUAGACUAUAUGUGGAUUUUCUGUGACUGGUCUUUUAAAAUAUUUGAUUAAUUAUUAUAGUUUGUGCACUAUGCUUUGCUAUGAUCAUGGUAUUCUCAUUUUAGUUUAUUUUUACAGUUCACAUAUUGUAACCUAGGCUGGACCCUCCUAGCAGCUGAUAUGAAUAAAGACAGAAAGAAAGACCUUGUAAUUGGCACACCAUAUGCUCCAGGUGGAGGAAAGCAAAGAGGUUUAGUGGCUGCAUUUCUUUCAAGUACCAGUAGGAAAGAAAUAAAGCAAACUAGGCUCAUCAUUUGCUAGUGGAAUUAUCUCAGUCGGUGGAAGGCGUAAACACAUUCUUCUCAUUGGAACACCUACACAAAGUACCUACCAAGUUGCAUUUCUAUCUAGACAGUUGCACCACGCUGGGACUGCUUCAGUGUUUGAGCUGAAAUCAAGGAGUUCAUUAUCUCCUCUGAGCACUCUGAGUGGAGACCGGGCAUACGCUCGAUUUGGGGCUAAGAUUCAUUUAAAUGAUCUGGACAAUGAUGGCCUUGGUAUGAAGUGCUUCCUUCUGUGUGAAACUAGUAGUAUAGUUUUGUGUUCCAUUAUUUACCCGGGGUGACUGUAAUUACAUAAGAAGUGUAUAUAGAUUGUAUGAAUGUAGUUUCUAGCCAUUGUUAAUGCAUGGAAAGAUAUACAAGGAAUAAAUGUAAAGUAGGAUAUACACUUUCAAGGGAAUAUGU